rnacentral:misc_RNA from 1 species
CAGCUCUUUUCUGUGUUUGCGUACCUGUUCAUCUUUCAUUUCUCCCCCUUCGUUUCUUCCUUAUUCGUAGCGGUGCGUCUUCCUCUGUCGCUUCUUCGCUCCCUCCCCCAUCUUCCCUUCACGUGCACCUCUCUUAGCAUAUUGUGUGAUGGUGUGCGUGCGUGUGUGGGGCGUGUACUCGACUUUGUUUCUCUUGCCUGUUCCUCAACCCCUUGCGCAAUCUCCUUCAUCAGUGUACCGCCGCGCAUAUUUUAUUGUUUCGCUGUUUUUCGGCGCGGCCCACCCCCCGAGCCCCCGCUUCUUCGGCUGCUUGUGUGUCUCGCACCCUUCUUUCAACCCUUCUCCCUCUUUCUCCCUUGCUAACCAGGGUGGUGCUGCCGCGCUCUCCCCGAGCGACACCCCUCUCCUCCCCUAGCUGACACGCCGAGAAGAGAGAGGUGACUGACACACACACACACACACACAGACACAGCCACAAGCACACAGGGGUGCUUGGAAAGAUACGCCGACAGCCACACAUCUUCCCUUUAGAAUCCAGGAACAGCCAACGGUUGCACGUCUUUGAUUACCGCAUUUUCUAUUCCAGCCGAGUGCCUUCCACACCCCCUCUCUUUCCUCUUUCUCUCGGCGCCUCCUAGUCCUUCCCCCUUCCCCUUGCUUGUGGCUUCGGUGGGCGACUGUAUCCCAGAGGCAUCACAGGAGCGAACCAGCCACCGCCACCGUUUCCUCAUCUCUCUUUCUCCUCCUUUGAGCAGAGCGAGGGGAAAAGAGGCGGGGGUAGUGCAUAACUAAGGUUUAUCUUAACUUUAUCCCUCCCUCAUUCUCUCUCGCUUUCGUCCAGCAUCCACCAUCCCCACUGCGGAAGGGGUCACUAUGUCUCUCGACAUCCGCGCCGGUUUUUCCAACCGCACGGUGUUCGUCACUGGCGGUACAGGCCUUGUGGGAAAGGUGCUGUUGUACAAGAUUCUCAAGGAGUUCCCUGAUGUGAAGCGCGUCUACCUACUCAUGCGCGGCAAACGCUCUCGCCGGCUGAAGAAGUACCUGAACGCGCAGGAGCGGCUAGACCUCGAGGUGCUCGGAUCCCCCUGCUUUGAGCCGCUACGUCAGCAAUUCGGCGACGUCAAGUGGCAGGAGCUGUGCCAGAAGGUGAAGGCGAUCCAGGGUGACAUCACCCUCGACCACGUCGGCCUCUCUGAGGAGGACCGCGCGACACUGGCGAACGAGGUGAAUUUCAUCGUUCACCUCGCCGCAACCGUCAACUUUAAUGAACGGCUGGAUCUGGCGUUGCAGAUGAACACAUUGGGUGGGUUGCGUGUGCUGGCACUGGCGAAGACGUGCCGCCACCUCCAGGCAAUGGUGCAUGUCUCGACGUGCUACGUCAACUACCGUCGCAAGGGCCGCCACUUUGUGAACGAGGAGCGCCUCUACCCGCUGGGAUUCGAUCCAGAAGAGAUGUGCAAGCGCGUGCUGGCGAUGAACUCCAAUGAAGUGGCGAUAGAGUCAGCGGCGCUGCUAAAGGAGCACAACUUCCCAAACACGUACACUUUCUCCAAGUGCAUUGGCGAGCAGCUCAUCUACAAGUACAAGGAGUCCGUCCCCAUCGUUAUCGUUCGCCCGUCCAUUAUCGGCUGCAGCUACUGUGACCCGUUCCCCGGCUGGGUGGAUGCUCUGACAGCCGCGGGUGGUCUGCUGCUCACUGUGUCCCUGGGCGUGGUGCGCGAGGUGCUGUGUGACAAGGACCUCAUCGCCGACGUCAUUCCGGUGGACUACGUCGUGAACAUUAUACUCAAGGCGCUAUUCAAGACCCAGCAGCACUACAAGGCGCGCCGCCUGCGCGCGGCUGCGACGGAGUCGGGCGAGGCUGGGACGCCAGCGCAGGCGGCCGCUGGUGCGGUGCGCAGCAGCGCAGUGCCUGUGUCUGUGGAUGCCAAGGCGGGUGCAGGUGGCAUGAACGUGGAGACGGGCAGCGCCGUGGCGGCGGAAACGAGCACCCUUUCUCUUGUCGAGUCGCCAGCGACGGACGACUUGGCCGGCAGUGGGACGACGGAGGCGGACGAGGGCCUACCCUUCAUCUACCAGGCGGCGACGUCUUCCUCGGAGAAUCGUGCGACAUGGGGCCGCGUGCACACGUCGCUGGUGGACUUCAUGAGGGGCAAGCGCCACCCGAAGGGGCUUUCCUCGAUGAAGGUGACCUUGACGACCAACCAGCAGUACUACCGCAUCCGCUACUAUCUGCUGCGCUACAUGCCGUACAUCGCACUCCGCUCCAUGAUGCAGCUGCCGCCGCCGAUCGGAUCGCCAAAGAAGCUUGAGCUCGUGAAGAAAUUGGGCCGCGCGGUGCGGCGCGCCGACCUGCUCACGUGGGAGUUCCUCGACUUCACGCUGAACGAGUGGAUAUACGCCUUCGUCAACGCGAGCCGCCUCGAUGACGGGCUUAACGAAUACUCCCGCAAGACCUUCAGCUUCGACCCAUAUUCUAUCAACUGGUACGCCUACACGCAGGUGUAUGCCUAUGGCAUCUUCAAGCACAUAAUCCGAGAGACGGGCGACUUCCAAAUACCCAAGCUCCCGCCGUCGGCCACGGAGGUGUUUGAGCGUGCGUCCUCCCUAUAAGGGCGAUCACAAGGGAUGCGUUUGACACUGCCAACCACUCCACACCCCCUCCCCCUUUUUCCCGCUCCUCUCCUCCCCCUCUGUGAUGUUCGAUUCCCGAGUUCCUUGACAAGACGUGCGAUGUGGCGGCUUGGCUUUGUUGUGGCGAAUCAAACCUCCCUCGGGUGUUGUGACGUGGUUUGACUGUGGUGGCGCGUAGAUGCUCCCUUUUUCUUUCCGACCCCUCCCCCUUUUCCCUCCUCCUCUUGUACCGUUUGCUGCUUCGACCCAUAAACGUGCGUGUCUCUGUGCCUCUUGGUGGCUUGCGGUGUGACGGGGUCUGGUCUCCCUUUCUUUUCCUUCUAUGUAGCUCUCCCUUUUCCUCAAACCCCUCCAUCUCUCCUCCUCUUGCUUCUUGUUUCGAGUACUGAUCUUUUCUUCGGCCCUCUCCUUAACGUGGGGCCGCAGAGAAUCGGUGGAUGUGCGUGUCCGUUGUUGAGUUGUUGCGUUUUCUUCGUUUUGUAUUUGUUCGCAAGCGCGUUCAUUUCUAUGCCAUAGAAGAUGAGUUUAGCGCCACGCUACGCCCCCCCCUCUCCUCCUUCCCCCCCACCGGCCCUGCCACAGGUCCCCAUCGCGUGGUGCGAAGCGGCCGUAGACACACGCGCUACAGCAAUGCACCGACUCGAUCAUCGGAGCGCAGCCCCAGGCUCAAACUAUACCCGCCACCCCGCCGCCUCACAGCCGCUUCCCCAUCAUGCCGCUCGCCACCUGGCGCAUCGCUUGGGAUGGCCCAGGCUCACCCACCAGCGGGCAGCGAGGGCCGGCUGAGAUGCGGUCGAGUCGUGCUGACACUCUGUCCAUCAUGUGGAUGGCACAAGCGAGUGCACUGUCGCACGUCGCUCCGAUGCCACGCCAUCCAGGACCUGACCGCCGGCAUCAGUGGCGAUAAAUCCCUCUGACUUUUCCUUACAUUGUAGGCACCUGACCCUGCCACCCACCAGAGGUGGUUUGACAUUGACAGGGGUAGUGGAGGUGCCCGGCUUCCCCACUCAGAGUGGGGGGUACUAGGCCCUGAUGCCACGCUGAGGUGUGUCCCCCAUCAUCGAAGGUGGGGGGGGACGUGGAAAAGAUAUAUGAGAGGUAUGGCGACGCUCACGACAGCAGUCGUCGCAAACUGGGAAGAAAAAGGAAUACGUGUACAAUCUCCCUCCCCCCUCCCAAGCUGCAUUUGAGAUCUACGGCAACCAUCACGAAAAGAUGGUGCUUCUCCCUCACAUACCUCCCCAUUACGCCUCGCUCGCUCUCUUUCUGUUAG